CCUGAGGCUCGGGGGGCGGGCGCUGCCCGGCCUGGCGGCUCCGCAGCCCCCGCGCCCUGGCGGGGAGGAGGUGACGGGACAGUCGGUUUGGUGCUCCCAGCCCGGCCUCACGGGGCUUUCCUCUCGCCAGCCCUUACGGGACGGUGCCCGGGAGCCCCCCGGGUGACGCCAGGCAGGCCUGCCCUCAGCUGUUCUGCCCGCUGCUCGUCGUGAGGGUGAGGGGCUGUCCCCUGCCAGUGCCCCGGGAGGAGGAGAGCCGAGGGGACCGGAACUCCCUCGUGGCCUCGUUCUCUGCGGGGGGUUUUCCUCCACGUGCUGUAAUGUCAGUGACUGAUUCACGGUUUUCAAAGGAAGAGAAAAAAAAAACAACCCAAUUUUCUUAGCUUCUUGCCAGGCAGCUUUAACGCUGGUCCCGCAUCGAACAAACCAGGCACAAGUUUUCCGUGGCGAUAACAAACAAAGCCUUUAUCACAACCGGCUCCUUCUAAUGGGGAGCUGGUGCUGCUCUGAAGCACAGAGAAAAAGAAUUUAUUGUUCCCUUAUCAUAAGAAAUGAACUUCUUCCUGCCUCACUCAGCCCUGGAGACGCUGUCAGGAAUCAGAGGAAGAAGCUGACACUGACCAGAGAGAAUCCUGUGUUUGAAUGGAAUUUAUGCAUCAUGUAUGAGGUGUAUGAAUAUGCAACAGGCUGUUGUUUUUCAGGGUUAAUCCUUUGUUAACGGGUGUCCUUUUUUUGGGCUUAUUUUGCCCAGAAAGACGUACCUGUAUGUCUGUAACUCUUUGUUUUUAUUGUCUCAUAUUGUCUUAAUCCCAACUGUUCAAAUUUUUAUUGCUCUAAUUAUAUUACUAUUUUUAUAACCAUUUACUACUAUUAAACUUUUAAAAUUCUAAAAACAA